AAUCUUCAGGGCGGGGUGAAAUUCCCCACCGGCGGUAAAGCCCGCGAGCCUUUUUUGGCUGAUCAGGUGCAAUUCCUGAGCCGACGGUACAGUCCGGAUGAAAGAAGAA
rnacentral:ncRNA from 1 species